CUCCCGUAACUACCUCCCGGAAACCGGAUGAGAGCACCCGAACCGAAACGCUGUUUUCUUUGGAGAGCGUGCUGCUGUCCUCCGCAGCACCAGCUCGUUACUGUUCGUCAUUGUUUACGUGGACGCUGGAGGAGGGCCUGAGUACUGGGGGCAGAGGAUUCUUAUUUGGGUGACGGUAUCUUUUUCACCGUGUGCAGUGCUUGGAAUUAACAUCCCUGUGUGUGUGUGUGUGUGUGUGUGUGUGUGUGCGUGAGCACAGUGCAGUGGUUCUGCACCUGUCGGUGGUACGCUACGACUCCCUGCCUCUGUGUCUCUUGUCCUUGUCUAGACCUGCUGCUAAACCUCUAGGGGUUCAUUGAAUUUGGACAAAGUGUCCUAUAUCCUUUUUAUACUGCUCAUUUUUUAAGAAUUGUCAAUAAAACUGAU